rnacentral:rRNA from 1 species
UGAGGAAUUUUGCGCAAUGGCCGCAAGGCUGACGCAGCAACGCCGCGUGGGUGAUGAAGGCCUUCGGGUCGUAAAGCCCUGUCAGGUGGGAAGAAAGGCCUGGAGAGGAAAGGCUACAGGUUUGACGGUACCACCAGAGGAAGCACCGGCUAACUCCGUGCCAGCAGCCGCGGUAAUACGGAGGGUGCGAGCGUUAUUCGGAAUUACUGGGCGUAAAGCGCGUGUAGGCGGGGGGACAAGUCUGAUGUGAAAGCCCUGGGCUUAACCUGGGAAGCGCAUUGGAAACUGUUUUUCUUGAGUACCGGAGAGGAAGGGGGAAUUCCCGGUGUAGAGGUGAAAUUCGUAGAGAUCGGGAGGAAUACCAGUGGCGUAGGCGCCCUUCUGGACGGUAACUGACGCUGAGACGCGAAAGCGUGGGGAGCAAACAG